rnacentral:lncRNA from 1 species
GCUGACUUGAGUCUAACUAGAGCAUUUGCUGGAUUAAUACCAUGCUCAAAUUUGGAACAUUCCAAACUCAUAAGAUCUACUUGACAAAAGCAUCUCAUUACUUCAGACGCUGGUGUAAUUGAUUUGUCAUUACCACACGCUAUUCAUAGUCUGGCAGUAGUGGAGAAGAGCUACCCUUGCACACUGUUUGAAAUAAAACAAGGAUGACCCGGAUAAACAGGUACCACUUUAUAACCUAAAUGUCUCUUGGGAAAAGAGAAGAAUGACACUGCCAGAACUAAAUGCUACUUCAACAUCUGGGUUCACUGAUCACAAGGGAGAACAGCAAAUGAAGGUGGACCCACCCUUAGCCAUAACCACACCUGGAAAAUACCUUCCAGGGCACACCCUGCGGUGGAGGGAUGAUGAUCUUCAAGUGUACCGUUAUAGUUAGCAACCAUCGGGAUCGGGUUUGUUCUCAGCUCUUUUCUGUCCUGUUUUGUGUCCUGAGAGGUGCCAGAAGAAGAUUGGAGGGUGGGAGGAAAGGGCCCUCAUUACCUGGCCAUCUUGUUCCUUUACCUGAGGAGGACACUUCCCUUGGGAUUGUGGCCCUCCCUGGUUCUGGUACCACCGUUUUGAAGACUCCUUUUCCCUUUCAAGUCUAGAAGUGGCAAUCGUUUCCCUCUUUUCACUCGUCCCUUUUGGUUCUCUUAACUGUUGCCACUCCUCUGUAAAUUGAUCCUUCUUUAACCUUCUUUCUGUUAGACCCUUUGAGAAUGCUGUUCGUUUCAAGCUGAGAUAGUGAUGGAAACAAUCUUUAUCCUGUUAAUCUUUCAAAACACAUUUUGUGUCGUAGUUAAAUUCUCUUAUGUUUAGUAUCAACUCCUUUAACCAAUGUUAAAUCAUGUAAUAUUACCCUAUUUGAUUCUUAUUUCACUUUUCAUUAACUAUCCAUAAAUAAAUUUUAAUUUUUGCUUCUCUAAUG